rnacentral:lncRNA from 1 species
GUCCAUUGUUCUAUAAGGGAUGGUAUCACUUCUUCUAUCAAUACAACCCAAAUGCAGCCGUGUGGGGUGACAUUGUUUGGGGACACGCAGUGUCUAAAGAUCUUAUCCAUUGGCUUCACCUCCCGUUUGCAAUGGUUCCUUUUUUUGUAAAAAUGUAUAUUUUGUAAAGAAAAUAUGGGAAUUUUAAAAAAUAAUAAUCAAAAUAUUUUAAAAUAUUUAAAAUUUUAAUUAUAAAUAUAUUAUUUAUAUUAUAUUUUACAAAAAUUAAAUUAAAUAAAUAUUUUUUAAAAUAAAAAUAUAACCCGCGAGUCCCGCGGGUUACCCGCAAAUUAAGCGGAGUGGUGCGGGUACAAAUUUAUUUGUUCGCGGGUUGUGCGGAUUGGAUUUUUUGACACAAAAAAAAUUUGUAACCCGCGGGUUAGUGGGUCAGCGGGGCGGGUUUGACCCGCAACCCAGCCCCUACACGUGAGUCAUGUGCAAAUUUUACAAAUCAUUACUUACCAUUUGUGGGUUUGAGAGUCAAUCUGAUUUAACUAUUUCUACCAACCCGACUGGCAAAAUGAGUUUUUAAUUCUUCAACUAAUUGAAAUCAGCACUUUUAAUACCCAACUUUAGGUUGGGCAGAUUUAUUCCUAAAGUAAUGUUUAAUUUCGCAAAAUUAGACUAAAAAAGAUUAAACGAUGCAAUACUAAACGGAGACGUUAAAUCUAAAAAGCCAGAAGCAUUAUCAUCAAACUCUAUAGUUGCUUCUUCUUCUUCAUUCCUUAUCUCUUCUUCAACCAAUUUUUUUUGUCUUUUAUGGAUUUAUUAUCUCUUCUUCUUCAAGCACAUUCCUUGUUUCUUCUUCGUUCCUUAUCAGUUUAUCACUUUUAGUUGUUUCUUAUUCAGCCAAGAUAAUUAGUCUUCUUCAAGAGUGUUCAUCAUUCCUCUUUUCAACAACAUUGCUUCUUUCUUCUUUUUUAGAAACAGUCCUAGAGCCAAAUUAAUGAAAAAGAUUGUAACAAAUAUUAACCAGACACUACACAACUAAAGUAAUGAAGAAGAUUGAAUUUACCUUUUAUUCUCUGUUGAUUUUGGAACUUCAGGUUCGACACAAUUCAAAGGUGUUCUUCGAAUUGGAAGCUUGUUUCGUCUUCCCUCACGCGUUCCCGUGAAAUUUUUCACCAUCUCAUUACCAAAAUUUGUCUUUUUCUUUAAAAGUCUUUCUAGCAAUUGAAGAGAAUUUAGGGUUAUGAGUUUUCAAGGCAAAAGACAAUUGGAUUAACGUUUUAGAAUUAACAUUUCUGUCAUUAAUUUAUGUUUAAUUUUUUGUAGUCUAAUUUUGCGCAAUUAAACAUUACGUCAGGAAUAAAUCUGCGCAACCUAAAGUUGAGUAUUAAAAGUGCUAAUUUCAAAUAGAUGAGGAAUUAAAAACCCAUUUUCCCCAACCCGACUGCAAUUUUUUUUCUGAGAGAGAAUGGACCCAACUGUAUUUGCAGCGUCGUACAUUACAUUUGUGAUUUAUUGAGUAAAACGUGGUUUACUUACAAAUCUUACUAAUAGUCUUAAAAAAUCCUGUCCCAAAAUAAAAACUAUUAAACAACAAAAAAUUAAUUUUAAAAAUUAAUAAAAAUAAAUAUUUGAAAAAGAAACAUAUUUAUCAAAAAAUAAAAAAUUAUUUAUCAUCAAACUAAAUCUAAACUCUAAACCCUAAAGAUAUAUUUGCCUUCUUUGUUAAAAAAAAGAUAUAUUUGUCUUUAUACAAAUUCAUGAAUAUUAUUUUAUGAUUUCUAUCCUUAUGUGUUAUUUUGGAAAAAAAUAGUUCUUAUAUUAUUUGAAAGUAGUUUUCUUACAUAUUACUAAUGUUGAGACGCUAUAUAUAUAUUUUAUAUAUUGUUAUUAUAUAAUGUUGAUUUAUAGAUCUUAAUGAAUGAAAGGUUUAGAUCUUGUUUUAUUACGUGGUUUAUUAUUGGUUUUCCCAUACACGAAUCAAUUUUGACCCACGAUGAUUGCAUAAUUGACAAACGAAAUGUUAAAACAACUGUCCAGGUCCAUUGUUCUAUAAGGGAUGGUAUCACUUCUUCUAUCAAUACAACCCAAAUGCAGCCGUGUGGGGUGACAUUGUUUGGGGACACGCAGUGUCUAAAGAUCUUAUCCAUUGGCUUCACCUCCCGUUUGCAAUGGUUCCUGACCAAUGGUACGACGCUAACGGUGUUUGGACCGGUUCGGCUACUUUCCUCGAUGAUGGUUCUA